CCUACGGGAGGCUGCAGUAGGGAAUCUUCCACAAUGGGCGAAAGCCUGAUGGAGCAACGCCGCGUGGGUGAAGAAGGUCUUCGGAUCGUAAAACCCUGUUGUUAGAGAAGAAAGUGCGUGAGAGUAACUGUUCACGUUUCGACGGUAUCUAACCAGAAAGCCACGGCUAACUACGUGCCAGCAGCCGCGGUAAUACGUAGGUGGCAAGCGUUAUCCGGAUUUAUUGGGGGUAAAGGGAACGCAGGCGGUCUGUUAAGUCUGAUGUGAAAGCCUUCGGCUUAACGGGAGUAGUGCAUUGGAAACUGGGAGACUAGAGGGCAGAAGAGGAGAGUGGAACGCAAUGUGUAGCGGUGAAAUGCGUAGAGAUAUGGAAGAACACCAGUGGCGAAAGCGGCUCUCUGGUCUGUAACUGACGCUGAGGUUCGAAAGCGUGGGUAGCAAACAGGAUUAGAUACCCGUGUAGUC
rnacentral:rRNA from 1 species